rnacentral:rRNA from 1 species
CGUAGGGUGCAAGCGUUAAUCGGAAUUACUGGGCGUAAAGCGUGCGCAGGCGGUUAUAUAAGACAGUUGUGAAAUCCCCGGGCUCAACCUGGGAACUGCAUCUGUGACUGUAUAGCUAGAGUACGGUAGAGGGGGAUGGAAUUCCGCGUGUAGCAGUGAAAUGCGUAGAUAUGCGGAGGAACACCGAUGGCGAAGGCAAUCCCCUGGACCUGUACUGACGCUCAUGCACGAAAGCGUGGGGAGCAAACAGGAUUAGAUACCCUGGUAGUCCACGCCCUAAACGAUGUCAACUGGUUGUUGGGUCUUCACUGACUCAGUAACGAAGCUAACGCGUGAAGCUGACCGCCUGGGGAGUACGGCCGCAAGGUUG